ACGGAGAGUUAAAUACGUUAAAUCAUUGGAUUAUUCCUAUGGAUAAGGUUUUGUAUUUAGUUAUGACCAAAGAUUGAAAGUAGUACAAAUUGUAAUUGAAGAGUUAAUUUUCACAUUUUUUUUAACUGAAACCUACUCACAUGGCUAAGCCAAAAACUUCGCAUGUUUAUGUAAUCCUAAAGAGUAUAGCCAGCCAUCACAAGUUUCCAUACAUUAGACCAAGAAAUGGAGAAAAGCUGGAAAUGACAAAAUUUGAUCCUCAUGUGCAAAAAUUUGUAUUGUACAAAGAAUUAAAGAAACCUUCAAGCUUCAGAGAUUAAGUUCACCAAAGGAUUAGUUUUAUGUAAUACAAUAAAAUUACUGUUUAUGUGAUGCAAUAAAAUUAAAUUAAAACUUUC